rnacentral:lncRNA from 1 species
CUUGCUAUGUCCUUGCGAGAUGCACGGAGGACACCAUGGUGGCCAUUGAGGCAAACAUCGUUCCUUCCGCUCCGCACGGCCGAUGGAUCCGUUGUUGACUUGUGACGAGGGAAAUACUUCCUUGACAGUAGUAGCAGGUUUUGAGGACAGGAACAAGUGUACAAUGGGGUUGGAUAGAAGUCGAAGAUUUUGGCUAUUCCAAGCAAAGGGG